GAAAUAUGUAUUUCAAGAGUAAGCUUCUAACUUAAUUCUUAAGCAAUAAAAUAUUGUUUAUAUUUCU
rnacentral:tRNA from 1 species